AGAGUUUGAUCAUGGCUCAGAUUGAACGCUGGCGGCAGGCCUAACACAUGCAAGUCGAGCGGUAGCACAGAGAGCUUGCUCUCGGGUGGCGAGCGGCGGACGGGUGAGUAAUGUCUGGGAAACUGCCUGAUGGAGGGGGAUAACUACUGGAAACGGUAGCUAAUACCGCAUAAUGUCGCAAGACCAAAGAGGGGGACCUUCGGGCCUCUUGCCACCAGAUGUGCCCAGAUGGGAUUAGCUAGUAGGUGGGGUAAUGGCUCACCUAGGCGACGAUCCCUAGCUGGUCUGAGAGGAUGACCAGCCACACUGGAACUGAGACACGGUCCAGACUCCUACGGGAGGCAGCAGUGGGGAAUAUUGCACAAUGGGCGCAAGCCUGAUGCAGCCAUGCCGCGUGUAUGAAGAAGGCCUUCGGGUUGUAAAGUACUUUCAGCGAGGAGGAAGGCAUUGUGGUUAAUAACCACAGUGAUUGACGUUACUCGCAGAAGAAGCACCGGCUAACUCCGUGCCAGCAGCCGCGGUAAUACGGAGGGUGCAAGCGUUAAUCGGAAUUACUGGGCGUAAAGCGCACGCAGGCGGUCUGUCAAGUCGGAUGUGAAAUCCCCGGGCUCAACCUGGGAACUGCAUUCGAAACUGGCAGGCUAGAGUCUUGUAGAGGGGGGUAGAAUUCCAGGUGUAGCGGUGAAAUGCGUAGAGAUCUGGAGGAAUACCGGUGGCGAAGGCGGCCCCCUGGACAAAGAC
rnacentral:rRNA from 1 species